AUUGAACGCUGGCGGCAGGCCUAACACAUGCAAGUCGAGCGGAUGAAGGGAGCUUGCUCCUGGAUUCAGCGGCGGACGGGUGAGUAAUGCCUAGGAAUCUGCCUGGUAGUGGGGGAUAACGUCCGGAAACGGGCGCUAAUACCGCAUACGUCCUGAGGGAGAAAGUGGGGGAUCUUCGGACCUCACGCUAUCAGAUGAGCCUAGGUCGGAUUAGCUAGUUGGUGGGGUAAAGGCCUACCAAGGCGACGAUCCGUAACUGGUCUGAGAGGAUGAUCAGUCACACGGGAGCUGAGACGCGGUCCAGACUCCUACGGGAGGCAGCAGUGGGGAAUAUUGGACAAAGGGCGAAAGCCUGAUCCAGCCAUGCCGCGUGUGUGAAGAAGGUCUUCGGAUUGUAAAGCACUUUAAGUUGGGAGGAAGGGCAGUAAGUUAAUACCUUGCUGUUUUGACGUUACCAACAGAAGAAGCACCGGCUAACUUCGUG
rnacentral:rRNA from 1 species